rnacentral:ncRNA from 2 species
AUAUCCCUCCAUGGGGAGGGACAGCGACAAAACUUGUUUUGUCUCUGGGUGAGGAC